AGCGAACGCUGGCGGCAGGCUUAACACAUGCAAGUCGAGCGAGCACUUUCGGGUGUCAGCGGCGGACGGGUGAGUAACGCGUGGGAACGUGCCCUCUGGUUCGGAAUAACUCAGGGAAACUUGAGCUAAUACCGGAUACGUCCUUUUGGGGAAAGGCUUGCUGCCGGAGGAUCGGCCCGCGUCUGAUUAGCUAGUUGGUGAGGUAACGGCUCACCAAGGCGACGAUCAGUAGCUGGUCUGAGAGGAUGAUCAGCCACACUGGGACUGAGACACGGCCCAGACUCCUACGGGAGGCAGCAGUGGGGAAUAUUGGACAAUGGGCGCAAGCCUGAUCCAGCCAUGCCGCGUGAGUGAUGAAGGCCUUAGGGUUGUAAAGCUCUUUUAUCCGGGACGAUAAUGACGGUACCGGAGGAAUAAGCCCCGGCUAACUUCGUG
rnacentral:rRNA from 1 species